rnacentral:rRNA from 1 species
UUAAGUGACGAUAGCCUAGGAGAUACACCUGUACCCAUGCCGAACACAGCAGUUAAGCCCUAGUACGCCUGAAGUAGUUGGGGGUUGCCCCCUGUUAGAUACGGUAGUCGCUUAGC